rnacentral:sRNA from 1 species
AUACAUACAGAUAACAAA